CCUACGGGAGGCAGCAGUGAGGAAUAUUGGUCAAUGGGCGCGAGCCUGAACCAGCCAAGUAGCGUGAAGGAUGACUGCCCUACGGGUUGUAAACUGCUUUUAUAAAGGAAUAAAGUGAGGCACGUGUGCCUUUUUGUAUGUACUUUAUGAAUAAGGAUCGGCUAACUCCGUGCCAGCAGCCGCGGUAAUACGGAGGAUCCGAGCGUUAUCCGGAUUUCUUGGGUUUAAAGGGAGCGUAGAUGGGUUGUUAAGUCAGUUGUGAAAGUUUGCGGCUCAACCGUGAAAUUGCAAUUGAUACUGGCAGUCUUGAGUACAGUUGACGUAGGCGGAAUUCGUGGUGUAGCGGU
rnacentral:rRNA from 1 species